rnacentral:rRNA from 1 species
AGCAGUAGCCGCGGUAAUACGUAGGGUGCGAGCGUUAAUCGGAAUUACUGGGCGUAAAGCGUGCGCAGGCGGUUCGUUAAGACAGAUGUGAAAUCCCCGGGCUUAACCUGGGAACUGCAUUUGUGACUGGCGAGCUAGAGUAUGGCAGAGGGGGGUAGAAUUCCACGUGUAGCAGUGAAAUGCGUAGAGAUGUGGAGGAAUACCGAUGGCGAAGGCAGCCAUCUGGGACAACACUGACGCUGAGGCACGAAAGCGUGGGGAGCAAACAGGAUUAGAUACCCCUGUAGUCCCUGUCUCUUAUAC